rnacentral:rRNA from 1 species
AACGAACGCUGGCGGCAGGCUUAACACAUGCAAGUCGAGCGCCGUAGCAAUACGGAGCGGCAGACGGGUGAGUAACGCGUGGGAAUCUACCCAUCACUACGGAACAACUCCGGGAAACUGGAGCUAAUACCGUAUACGUCCUUCGGGAGAAAGAUUUAUCGGUGAUGGAUGAGCCCGCGUUGGAUUAGCUAGUUGGUGGGGUAAUGGCCCACCAAGGCGACGAUCCAUAGCUGGUCUGAGAGGAUGAUCAGCCACACUGGGACUGAGACACGGCCCAGACUCCUACGGGAGGCAGCAGUGGGGAAUAUUGGACAAUGGGCGCAAGCCUGAUCCAGCCAUGCCGCGUGAGUGAUGAAGGCCCUAGGGUUGUAAAGCUCUUUCACCGGUGAAGAUAAUGACGGUAACCGGAGAAGAAGCCCCGGCUAACUUCGUGCCAGCCGCCGCAGUAACAC